GGACAAAAUCAUGUGCAAGAGAUUUCUGUAAGCCAGAACACGGUGAUAAUGCAAACCAAGAAUUCAAAGUUGAACCUGUGAGUACCUAAAUGGCAUCAGGAUGAAAACAAGUUCCUGCUUCGCUGAGGAAAUUGCCAGACUUUCUAUAGGACACAGAGAGAAGUGACUGAGAGACUCUAGGACUGUGGGCUGAAGACAGAUGCUCCAUCUUUAAAAGAACUUUGGAUGACUGUCCAGGCUGCCAGCCCUCUCUGAAUAUUCUCACAAGACUCUGGAAAGUUGCUUGCAUCCUUCUCCCAUUUCUCAGGGAAGUACUGAAUACCUCUCUGCAAUCAACAAUAAAUAAUUUAUUUCCAAAAAGGCA